UACGGAGGGGGCUAGCGUUGUUCGGAAUUACUGGGCGUAAAGCGCACGUAGGCGGCUUUGUAAGUUAGAGGUGAAAGCCCGGAGCUCAACUCCGGAAUAGCCUUUAAGACUGCAUCGCUAGAACGUUGGAGAGGUAAGUGGAAUUCCGAGUGUAGAGGUGAAAUUCGUAGAUAUUCGCAAGAACACCAGUGGCGAAGGCGGCUCACUGGCCCGGUACUGACGCUGAGGUGCGAAAGCGUGGGGAGCAAACAGG
rnacentral:rRNA from 1 species